UGAACCUCAAGGCCUCAAUUCACCCAAUGACUCUGUGACUCCAAUUGUCCGAGAGCAGGAUCAGACCCAUUUCUCCUCGUGCUCUGCCCAGGGACCCGCUACAAAACACAAACCCAACCCACAAAUAAUCUGUGUUAGAAGAAAAAGAGUGCACUGGCUUCUAGGAGCAGGUCAAUGAGUCAACACAAGGCAACAAGGUUGUAGGAGCCGGAGUCUCAGCUGGGAUAGGCACUUUGCUGUACAGACAGCACUGACUCGCGGCAGCUGGUGUUGUGGCCGCCCCAGAACGUGCAUUUUCUGAAAUCUGAGGAUAUAUCAGCCUCUCCUGGCAUUUCACAUUCAAAUGCUUCCCUGAGCUGUCUACCCAAAGGUUAACAUCGCUGCUGAUCAGCAAGAGAAGCAGAGAAGGCAGAUGAAUGCAACUUAACUGAGAACCGGGGCAGAAAACCAUGCCAGGCAAGCAGGAGGCAAGCUGCCAGAAGGACACGCGGCGGGCAAAACACGAGAGGCCAAAAGCCAGCAAAGUGGGAUGCAAAAGGUAGGGACUCUGGACAGAGCGGCCUCCCUGCAUUUAGGUCUCGAUCACGUAUUGGCCAAAUUUUGGGCGCAUGAGCCUUUGGGCAAGCUCCUUGUAACCCGGAAAUGGGUCUCUGCCCUUGAUGUUGUUGCACUUGUGCAGCAGUGAGGUGGCAGGUGGACAACCCUGUAAGCAAGGCGUGUGUCACCACCACCUUGUUUCUAAAGCCCGAAGAUCUGGUUGGCGGUCUUGCGCAGCGCGGCUGCCCUGUAAGCGGGGUCCAGGCCAGACGCAGCUGCCAGUGGCGCAGCCUCCUGUAAGCAGGGUGUGCGGUGCCUGCUAUCGGGAGAAGGACAGUGGGUUUGGACGUGGGUAGCGCUGGACGUCCUGUAACUGGGAGGCCAGGUCCACUGCCAAAGCCAGCCGGUCGGAGAGGUGCCCCUGUCAGCAGGGUGGGCGUAGCCUCCUGGUGCUGGCGUGAGAGCCAG